rnacentral:tRNA from 1 species
GGGGGCGUAGCAUAAUCCGGUUAGUGUGACCGGCUCCAGACCGGUUGAUGGGGGUUCAAAUCCCUCCGUCCCCA